CCUACGUGUGGCAGCAGUGAGGAAUAUUGGUCAAUGGGCGAGAGCCUGAACCAGCCAAGUCGCGUGAAGGAUGACGGCCCUACGGGUUGUAAACUUCUUUUGUCAUGGAGCAAUUGGGUCCACGCGUGGGCUUAGCGAGAGUACCUGAAGAAAAAGCAUCGGCUAACUCCGUGCCAGCAGCCGCGGUAAUACGGAGGAUGCGAGCGUUAUCCUGAUUUAUUGGGUUUAAAGGGUGCGUAGGCGGAAUAUCAAGUCAGCGGUAAAAAUUCGGGGCUCAACCCCGUCGUGCCGUUGAAACUGAUGUUCUUGAGUGGGCGAGAAGGAUGCGGAAUGCGGGGUGUAGCGGUGAAAUGCAUAGAGAUAGGGAGGAACACCAGUGGCGAAGGCGGCCUGCUGGGCUCUAACUGACGCUGAGGCACGAAAGCGUGGGUAGCAAACAGGAUUAGAUACCCUAGUAGUC
rnacentral:rRNA from 1 species